AUGCUGAACUUGCAGUUUCCCAUCUUAAAUCAGCAUGGAAACACCCAAUCCUGUUUUCAUUUGCACAGUGAGGGUUUGAAGCUGGAAUGGAAAGUGCCAGGCUCCUUUGUGGACUGGAGACAAACCCUAACACUGCCCUUCUUCAAAGGAGGAAGAAAUGGGAGUUCUGCAGCCACCUGUGCUAGAUCAUACAGAUAUGGGACCUGGGGGCUGUUUCUAAUGGCUCUGCAGUGGGAACAUCUUGCAAAAAGAAAGGCAAUACUGAUAUGCAAGCAGUGAAAUGGUGUGUGCCACUUGUGCUGCUGACAGACCUCAGGACUCCCUCACAUGACUGGAUUUGUCAGGAUCAGGACACAUGGGAACUUAUUUUAUCUGUGUCAAAACCCACCCAAACACCCAAAGCAGAUUCCAGGUGCAACAGGUGAGAAUUUGGUCUGGUUUAAAUGUACUUUAUUGGUAUUGCCCAAACCUGUAACAUGCUUGGCCCAAGGGUGGACCUGCAUUGAAUUACACCAUCUUUUUGCAUUAUCUACCUUCCAGACCAUGGCAAAGGCACUGACUGAUGUGUUUCAGCAGGUAUUUUUUUCCCUGUCG
rnacentral:lncRNA from 1 species